GCUGAGUGGGGAGGAGAGAGGGACAGAGAGCCUGCUUCUUUAAAGGAGCAAAGCGGGAGAGGAGAGGAGCCACUUACACAAGUGUAAGCGGCUCCUUUCCGGUUGGUUCCUUUAAAGCAAGCAGGCUCUCUGUCCCUCUCUCCUCCCCACUCAGC
rnacentral:miRNA from 1 species